CACGUGAUAAAAUAGCACAAGAAACACUUACCAAAUAUAAGGUUAUAUCUUCAGAAUAUACAGGAGAAGGAGGCUUGUAUGUACAGUAAGAAAAUGGUUCUCAGAAUUUUAUUUUUCUUUCCCCUUUUUAUAGUAAUUUGAAACAUCUCAGCUUCAAUAGCUUUAAAUAAUACUUUGGGCCAGUGGACACUUUAAAACAGGGGUGCUAAGGAGAAUGGCAGGCACAACCCAAUGAAGGUGUUCCUUUGCACAAGCCCGGCUAAAAUGAAUGAGCAAUUCUCAUUGGUGUCCAUGCGGCUUGCCCAGCAGAAAUUCCUAACGAGUUAUGCCCUAAAUUUGGACCGAUACAUUGUUAGAACUCUUGCAUGAAGUGGAGUCACCUUUCUCAGGGAGCAAUCCUAUAUCCACUUAUUUGGGAGUAAGCUCCACUGAACUUAGUGGGACUUAGUGUAUAGGAAUGCACUGUCACCCUGCGCCGUAACACAAGUAAAUCAGGAUAUUGCAGUUGUAUAGAACAAGUGACUGAUCUUAAGCACAUUUUGAUCCUUUCUUUAUAUCUUUCCCGUACAAUCCCCUCCCCCUCGUGUCUCUGCCUGAUACCUUUCCUCAUCUCUUCUUUCAUUGAAAGGCCCAACAGUGCACAUGGAAUGUUCCCCAUCUCCUAAUCACAUCUCCUAAUCAUAUUUAAGAGAACAUUUCCCUAUGUUUAUGAGAAUAUUUUGCUUUCCUGUUAAUUAUGCUUCUCUAAAUGUGGAUAUUAUGAGAAAUGUAAAGGGAUAUAGAAAUGAUUCAAAUAAAUAAAUAAAAUUAUUGCAUUUGGAUUAUCACUCUUGCUCUUCCUAGCAUACAUAUACUUAUUAAAAAUUAUAUUCUGUUCUCAUCUAAUCAUGGUGGAGCAGUAUAUUAUUCACUUUAACCAUGGUUAGCUCCAGGGCUUUUUUUUUUAGCCAGAAUUUGCCGAAACUGAGUUCCGGCAUCUCUAAGGUAGGCUCCAUUGCCAUUUUAAGAGAACAAGGGAGGCAU